ensembl:lncRNA
AACAAGGCUCUCAAUUGUAUGAGCUGAUGUUUUGGUCCAAGCACCCUUCUAAGCUCCUUCACAGAAAAUAGGACCUAAAAUCUUCACCACUCCAAAUGACAGCAUUAUUCUUCUCAUACUGCAUGAAAAACACUAAAUUCUGAGAGGUGAUGAGAUGCAUUCAAGAUUACAGUUAGUUAAUGGUGUAACAUGGACCUAAAUUUGAAUUAAGGUUCUCACCAAAGUCCAAAUUUUUUCUCUUUGUCAUAUAUUAUACACAGCAGGCAAACUGGGUUAUUUUCCUUUCUAAAAGAUUCUUCUUUAUUCUUUAGUUCCUGCUUUCUCUUGCCUUGGAAUGUGCUAACAACCUCAUUUUGGAUGAUGUAAUCUUCCCUACCUGCAUCUGCUACCCUGUCUCAAUCUAUAUGACCCCUAGCAUCUUUAAAAGACCAACUCAAAUACAACCUUCUUCAGGAUCCAGAAUUAAGGUCUGCUCUUUCCUCAUCCCUCCCGCAGGAAGUCAUCUCCCGCUACUUCCUCUACACUCUACAACUUUUGAUUUCAUACCAUUUUUGCCAUAUGCCAUUACUGAUAUUUACUUAUUUACAUCUUCUAUGCCUUGAAAACUUGUUGAGUCAUAAGGCUCAUCAUUGCAACCCCAAUACCCAGAACAGACCUUUGUCAUUGACUGAAGGGACAAAAGCAACGACAACAACAAAAAAAAUAGGAGCUACAUCAUUUCCAUGCGCAGGUUGCAGGCAUUGAAUAAAUCCUCAUUUGCUGCUAGCAAACCUGGGAAGGCUACCUGGAGGAAGCUUUGGAUCUGGAACCAUGAGAAACUUCUGAUUUUCCUCAUUGCUUUCUGUCCUUCUUACCUCUUUGGUCUCUGAUGUCUAAAAAGGGUUGAAAGCACUUUGGUAGAAAUCAGUAGUUUGUCAAGUUGGUUACAGACAUUCUUGGAAGAGACAAGGAGGAAAAGUGCACAGAAUGCUGCUCUCCACAGUGACGCAGCCAUGCUGGACAAGUUCAGACUAAACACAUAUACAUCAUUGUCUUCAUGUGUGCUUCUAAUGUGUCCGCAUCAAACUCUGGAUAGGACUCCUGGGGACAGUAAAUGGGGCUGAGACCACCUCGAAGUAAUUUGGAACGUGCGUACCUGUCAUCCGCCUGUCAGUCUUCCUGGAGUAGCGUCGGGGCAAGUCCAAGGGGGCAAUGAUUCCAUGUUUCCAUACAACCUCUAAAUGCAUCCUGCAUGACCUGGACCCAGGCCAGCACACCAGAUCCCACUUCUAAGAAGAGAGCAUAUCAUGUGGCUGACAUGAAUUCCAGUGAGAAGAGCUGGUCACCUCUCAGCUUCUUUAAUUGUUCCUCAUAAGGGACAUUUAUGAUAUAACGAUGGGUUUUUGGAGGAGCUCACAUUCAGACAGUAAUUUACUUGGGGGGGGGGAACCUAUAAACACUGAAAAGAAGACAAAGAAUAUCAAAGGUUGUAUUUUUCUUUCUCACUCGAUAGUGAACAAAUAUUUAUUAAAUAUCCACCAUAUGUCAGACAUUACUCUGUGUACUAAAGGCCCAGAGAUAUGAGACUCAUCCCUGC